AGAGUUUGAUCCUGGCUCAGAUUGAACGCUGGCGGAAUGCUUUACACAUGCAAGUCGAACGGCAGCACGGGAGCUUGCUCCUGGUGGCGAGUGGCGAACGGGUGAGUAACAUAUCGGAACAUAUCCUAUCGUGGGGGAUAACUAGUCGAAAGACUAGCUAAUACCGCAUACGUCCUGAGGGAGAAAGCGGGGGCUCGCAAGACCUCGCGCGAUUGGAGUGGCCGAUAUCUGAUUAGCUAGAUGGUGAGGUAAAAGCUCACCAUGGCGACGAUCAGUAGCUGGUCUGAGAGGAUGAUCAGCCACACUGGGACUGAGACACGGCCCAGACUCCUACGGGAGGCAGCAGUGGGGAAUUUUGGACAAUGGGCGAAAG
rnacentral:rRNA from 1 species